ensembl:lncRNA
GGGGUAUACAAAGCUUUCUAAAAAAGCUUUCUUCUUUUCAUCAUUCAUACACUCCGAGGUUUUAGCAAGCAGUUUUUGUUUAUUUAAAGGAAAAAAUACUAUGAAUGAGCAUAAUUACAUUGCUGUGUAAUAAUUGCAACCCAGCUAGGUUCGUUUUCUCUAAUAUCAAGUUAUACCUGCUGUAAUCAGACAAACAGAAGACUGUCACUAAUUCUGUCAAUCAUCAAGCUUGGCUCCCUGAGCAGUCGCAUGCCUGAGCAAUCAGUGGAGAGACGGGCUUCUCACCGCCGUCCAAGCAUUAACACACAGUUAUAAAGUAACCUGUGGGGACAGUCACCAUGGAAACUUGCCUCAUUACGCCAAAACCGAGAAAUAUAAAGCAAGAGAGGGGGGCACGCACCUGCCAUUUUACAACACAACUUUGCAGGAGUUUCAUUUUGUACAGUUAAGCAGAACUAAGGGGGAAUACUCUUUGUUUAGGCUAAGUCAAAACGUAACCGAACAAUUUAACCGGAUCGGAUGCAAGUGGACAUUUUUGAAGAAUACAUACCCUCAUCUUCAGUAUUACAUAUUUAACCAUAUGUAUGGACACCUGGAUACAACAUUCAGAUGGAGUGAGGAUUUAGGCCUGGAUUAUACCCUGGAAAGCAGGACAAGAAAUGGAGUUUAAUGCAGUUCCUUGAGGAACCUUUUUUUAUAUAUAACUUACCUUGGCUUGAAAAAUAAAUGCAACAUGGGGAACAGCAACUCUAGGCCAAAGAUUUGCCAAGUUGCACCAUCUCAUAGUCAACCAAUGGAGGAUAAGCCUUCACUGUUUCCAACCUCACCAUGGAUGAUUACUGCUGAUAAAGGUACAGAGAUGCAAGAGAAAAGGAUUGUGGGACAGAGGAAGAACAACCAUCUGCCUCCUUCAACAGGAAGGCACAAAAUACCUAAUUCUGUUCAUUUAGAACCAGGAUCUCAGAGUGUCUGUGAUAAAACUGAUCACAACAUUAUUAAGUCUCAUCCACCACAACCAGCACAGGACAGGGAAUGGAGAGAUGGGCCUGUCCGCUGCUGUUCCACUCCCAGCCUGGGAGGGCACUGUGGCACCAUCAAAACACUACAGGGACACAUGAAAGGUCUCCUGCGGGCACAGAUGAUGCUCAGUCACCAAGCAACCAAGAAGCGGCAAGCUCAGCAGAGGUGCUUUAGGAAAAGUCGAGGGAAACAGAAGAGGGUGUACACCUCUUAUCUGGAAGGAGGACAGAGGGUUUGUCUUGUGCCCAGGCCAAUGCAACAAAACAUCUUCUGUGAUGAGUCUGAAGGACAGAUUCUGGAUGUAAGGGAGCUGUUGCAGCCAAGUCCACAGGUGACAGACCCAAACAUGGGAGAUACAAUGAGUGGCAAACCACUAAUGAAAAAUGGAAUUAAAAGACCAGAAAUGUAGAGGUCUGGGGAAGGAAUGUUGUCAUAAGAAUUCCCUGAAUUCUCCAAGGAGCAGAACAAAUCUGGACAAAGGUGUGACAGGAACUUUGCAAAGGAAUUGCAAUGCAAACAUGUUACUUUGGCAUAGUGAAAACGAGUAUAGACAUUACUCUGGUUCCUUCAUGAAAAUAGAUCUACAGGAAGAAUGGGAAAUUACCAAGAGGCCUUUACAGCCAGACUCCGAAAAGCACAGUUAGUCUGAGAUUACAUGAAGGAAUUUUUCAAUCUAAUUUGUAAUGCAUCUGUGGUAUGUUGUCUAUUACUCAGACAACAUUAACUCAUCCUUCGGUUUAUAAAUGAUAGGGAAAUGUGAUUACAGUCGUACACUUCUAGCAAGCAAGCAGGCCAUACCUGUUUAUAAUUCAAGUGCAAGUCAACAGUGCUUUACAGAUACACUUUGAUCGUUACAUUUCUAGCCAGGUGUAUAUUGGAGGAAUUUAAUCUGGAAUAGUUCUUUAACAGGAUUGAGAGUGUAACCAGGGCUGCUGAAGCAAAGGUUGCAAGUUCAAUCCCGAUUUUACAAAUUUGCUUGUCCUAUGAUGCUUGGGCCUAUUUGAGCAUCUCAGACUGCAGGGAAACACCUUGGAUGCACAGCCAGUCCAUCGCAAGUCUAACAAACACUCCCACAUGAGCGGCAGUUUAUUGAUUUCAAUUCACCUGUCUCACAUGUAUUUGGAUUGUAGAGGAAUCUGGAGCACCUGGAGGAAACCAACACCAAGAAAAAACUCGACACCGAAUGUCCUGCUGACUCAAGAGUCUCGAACUUGGGGACCUUCUAGUUGUGAGAAGGCAGUACAACAAUCCCAAGAACCAGAAUCUCAGAUGUUUAAGCCAUUAGAUCAUACUCCCCAUGCAACCAAAUUAUGUAACCCAUUUCCUCCCAUUAUUUUGUCCAAUAUAAAAAGGUGUUCCAUGUAAUGUUUACGAUGAUUUUCUAUCCUGUAGGCAUUGGUCUUUUUCAACUAGGCAAAAUGUUUGAGAUAAAGGAAUAGCCCACCCAAAAAAUUUUAUUUGUUUAAAAUUUACUCAGCCCAAACAAGAUUUCAAGUUUCUUUAUCAAAACAGUUCUAGAAAAAAAAAUGUACAUCUCUUGCCCACCAAUGGAUCCUCAGCCUAAGUAAAUCUUAUGCAAUUUUUUAUUUUUGGGUGAACUAUCCAGACAGAUAUGUUAAAGUCAUUCCACAAUACUUUAUUCCCCCAGCCUAAAAACAGGAAGUUUUUUUUUUUUUUUUUUUUUUUUUUUAAUAAAACCAUCAGGAAAAGGUUGAAGUGGUUAACC